rnacentral:rRNA from 1 species
CCUGAUGUGGGGGAUAACCAUUGGAAACGAUGGCUAAUACCGCAUAACGCCUACGGGCCAAAGAGGGGGACCUUCGGGCCUCUCGCGUCAGGAUAUGCCUAGGUGGGAUUAGCUAGUUGGUGAGGUAAGGGCUCACCAAGGCGACGAUCCCUAGCUGGUCUGAGAGGAUGAUCAGCCACACUGGAACUGAGACACGGUCCAGACUCCUACGGGAGGCAGCAGUGGGGAAUAUUGCACAAUGGGCGCAAGCCUGAUGCAGCCAUGCCGCGUGUGUGAAGAAGGCCUUCGGGUUGUAAAGCACUUUCAGUCGUGAGGAAGGUAGUGUAGUUAAUAGCUGCAUUAUUUGACGUUAGCGACAGAAGAAGCACCGGCUAACUCCGUGCCAGCAGCCGCGGUAAUACGGAGGGUGCGAGCGUUAAUCGGAAUUACUGGGCGUAAAGCGCAUGCAGGUGGUUUGUUAAGUCAGAUGUGAAAGCCCGGGGCUCAACCUCGGAAUUGCAUUUGAAACUGGCAGACUAGAGUACUGUAGAGGGGGGUAGAAUUUCAGGUGUAGCGGUGAAAUGCGUAGAGAUCUGAAGGAAUACCGGUGGCGAAGGCGGCCCCCUGGACAGAUACUGACACUCAGAUGCGAAAGCGUGGGGAGCAAACAGGAUUAGAUACCCUG